CCUACGGGAGGCAGCAGUGGGGAAUAUUGGGCAAUGGGCGCAAGCCUGACCCAGCAACGCCGCGUGAAGGAAGAAGGCUUUCGGGUUGUAAACUUCUUUUAAGAGGGAAGAGCAGAAGACGGUACCUCUUGAAUAAGCCACGGCUAACUACGUGCCAGCAGCCGCGGUAAUACGUAGGUGGCAAGCGUUGUCCGGAUUUACUGGGUGUAAAGGGCGUGUAGCCGGGCUGACAAGUCAGAUGUGAAAUCCCGGGGCUCAACCCCCGACCUGCAUUUGAAACUGUUGGUCUUGAGUAUCGGAGAGGCAGGCGGAAUUCCUAGUGUAGCGGUGAAAUGCGUAGAUAUCAGGAGGAACACCGGUGGCGAAGGCGGCCUGCUGGACGGCGACUGACGUUGAGGCACGAAAGCGUGGGGAGCAAACAGGAUUAGAUACCCCUGUAGUC
rnacentral:rRNA from 1 species